rnacentral:lncRNA from 10 species
GAACUGCUGCGUGUGGAAACCCGGAUCAUCCAUAGCUGACAUCCUCUAAGUCAGGUGGGGCUCAGAUGUCACCUCCCCCGCCAGACUGUCCCAGAUCAGCCGAGUUAAUGUUGCAGCUCACCUUUCUCGAAGUUGCUCUCCAUCAAAUUGCUGCGUUGUAUUUUCGUCUCAGUUCUAGCUAUUUGAAAUACUGCAUCUUAUUUCGUGUUUACCAUGGGUGAUCUGGACUCUCCCUUUAGGCGCUAAACAGCCUGGCCCCCGUAUUUUCUGUGCCACUCCACCCCAUUCCCCUCGCAGAGCUGGAGACUAGGUGUUCAAUGUUGACGGAAUGAAUACAUGAAAUCGUUCAUGUAAUCUUCACAACAACCCUUCGAGGUUUGGAAGGACUUUGGCUAACAGAAGCUUCCUGAGUGGUUGUUCCAUCCCCAACUUUUUGUGGAAUCUGGCACUGGCCUUGGUGUCAUCUAUAAUAUAGAUUUCAAUGCUAAAUGUCAGGAGGAAAAUGGAUAGGGCAGUGUGCUUUAUGAACUGUUACCAAAAUACUAGCAUCGAAAAAGCAAGCAGCAAUUACAAACAAUAGGCUUAAGGUUAUCACGUCAUCAUAUUUUUGCUUGCUUCAAGUUUGUAGUUUUGUGAAUCUAACCUAAAUUAAUAUUUUCAAAGACCACAAGGUUGUUACCCAUUAAUUCCAGGUUAGAGCAGACAUUUUGAAAGUAUGGGAAGCAAGCUGGAUCCGCUGAGAAUCCUUGUUAAAUACGGUUUUUUAAUAAUGUGUUGAUAUCAUUAUAGGAAUAAUGCUUGUAUACUUGAAACAUUGAAUACAUUUACUCUUCAGCCUAUUGGAGAGUUAUCCCUUCCUUGAAGUCUGGCCUUGAUUAUGACAUUCUUUUGUUUCUGCUCCCUCCCCACCCCCGACAGAAUCAAGAUUGGACUUUACUGCACUGUUGAGCUAAUCUGAAUUAAAAUCUGUCACUUGUGUUCAGUCACGACUCCGUUACAUUUCCUAAUGAGCCGUGCCUGAUCUUUGGGCAUUUCUCAGGGUAUUUAUGAGAAGGGUGCAGCUAAGGCUUAGUGGAGACUCCGUGGUGAUAUUUAGUAUGUGAAGCAUCUGUACAAAGCAUACAGUUGAGAAUGUUCAUCGUUUAUUGUUGUUAAACUUAGUCACUCACAUUCCUUCCCUACUGAAUGAGGCUUCCAAGGACACCUCAAACACAAAUUCAUCACAGGGAAGACAGUUGCACUGAACAUUAGCAGAACUAAGAAUCGAUGCAUCAGGUCCUAACUGGAGAUAUAUUUAAUACACUUUUUCCUUAGUUUUGUUUUACUUGUAAAGAUUACAAUAGUCGGCCGGCCACAGUGGUGCACACCUGUAAUCCCAGCAGUUUGGGAGGCUGAGGCGGGCAGAUCGCCUGAGGUCAGCAGUUCGAGACCAGCCUGACUAACAUGGUGAAACCCC